rnacentral:rRNA from 1 species
UACGGGGGGGGCAAGCGUUGUUCGGAAUUACUGGGCGUAAAGGGCUCGUAGGCGGCCAACUAAGUCAGACGUGAAAUCCCUCGGCUUAACCGGGGAACUGCGUCUGAUACUGGAUGGCUUGAGUUCGGGAGAGGGAUGCGGAAUUCCAGGUGUAGCGGUGAAAUGCGUAGAUAUCUGGAGGAACACCGGUGGCGAAGGCGGCGUUCUGGACUGUCUCUGACACUGAAGAACGAAAGCCAGGGGAGCAAACGGG